rnacentral:rRNA from 1 species
GUGAGGAAUAGAUAGGUAACGUACCCCGGACUCAGGAAUAGCGGCCGGAACUUCGGUUCCUUUGCGAAAGUGCCGGUAAUACCUGAUGAUGUCAUUGGAUCGCAUGGUCCGAUGAUCAAGGGUCCGCUGGUCUGGGAGCGGCCUAUCUCCUAUCAGCUUGUUGGUGGGGUAACGGCCUACCAAGGCAACGACAGGUACCAGGCGUGAGAGCGCGAUCUGGCACAUCGGGACUGAGACACUGCCCGGACAUCUACGGAUGGCUGCAGCAACGAAUCUUCCGCAAUGGGCGAAAGCCUGACGGAGCGACGCCGCGUGUAGGAUGAAGCACUUCGGUGUGUAAACUACUGUCAGGGGUUAGGAAGAUAGUGACCAACCCCACAGAAGCCUCGCUAACU